rnacentral:lncRNA from 1 species
CGCUGUCCCCGCCCCGGGCCGCGGGAAAAGAGCUCCCGCCCCACACGCAGUCUCUCCUCCCCAGCGGGAAUCAACUCCUCCCCACGGUGCCGUGGCCGAAGGCCUAUUUCCUUCGUGAACCUGCCCUUCCUCCCCACACAGUUGGCCGAAGGCGUCUUCUUCACAAAGUCCGCCGUUCCUCCCGCCCUGAGGUAGAGCCCUUCCCCGUCCUGCACGGGCUCCCACCGCUUUCCUCAGCAGGAGCCAUCAAGUACCCACCAUCAGUUCCCUCUGCUGGGGCAGCCAGGUGAUUAUUUUCCAUUUUCUUCUUGCUACGGUAAAAUACCCACUUAGAAGUACCCAAGGAGCCCAGUAAGGGUAAAGCAAAACAAGUGGUUGUGGCAUUAAAGUGCUGGGACGUUUGUUUUUGCCCUCUAUACUGCAGUUGCAUCCAUGAGAAGUACAAAGAGACAAAGAAAGUUUCAGUUAUGCUUCCACAUCACUCACUUUAUAGCUUAAACACGUGACACUGAUAUUCCCAAAGAACGCAUUGCACAGCCACAGGAAGGUUUGGUAACUGCAUUUUUACUUAGUCAGGUUCAGACCAGACAAUGCUAAUACAAAAAGUACCGUGUUUUACUGCAUUUGUGGCCCAGCUUUAGGAACAGCCCUUGUGUUGUACGCGACAUCAAGACAGCAACUGCACACAUCCCUGGCAGAAGUCCACAGGAGUGAAGAAAUACAGAGAGAAGACACGGUAAAUUUGCUACUUUUUCAUUUUUUCCAUCUAAGCUGUCACAUGGUGACACUGAUUGUAUCUUACGGCACAGAAGAGAAGCCGAAGUUCAGUAGCUUCACAUCAUACAGGUUGCCAGUUUUCCUUUGUCAUCCUCAGACAAAGGGCUGCCACGUACCAUAGACUGUGAAAUACUGUACAAGUACUGUAAACCUUACAAGUGCCAACAGUUUUGCAGGAGAUUGUCAAUGCUGUGAGAAAAAAAGCAACGUCUGUUCAUCUGUGGUUUAAUAGACAAAGCUAUGGCACAGAUGCAUUAGGAUUAACUCACAGGAGUUUUGGUCUGAAGUACAGUGAGAUCAGCAAGUCCUAGAUGAACAACAAGACAGUUGAAGAAGUAGUUAAAAACCACAGAAUUAUCCAAAAAUGAUUAUUUAGAAUCUGUUGGUUGUACUUAAGUAGUUCAGCUACGCUGAUGAUUAGAAAAGGGGAGGCUGUUAUACUUCGAGUAAGAUUCUUUGCUGAAUGCUGUUUUCAAGCCUGAGUCCCCUUUCAGGUUAACACUUUUAAACGUGGAAAUAGUUAAAAAUAUUUCUCUUUUGUUAACUAUAUACAUGGAAACAGUAACACCACAGUUUCAGAGAGGUUGGGCAUAAGCCUUUGUGAGAAGCAACAGAGAAAAAAGUUCAGUAUAGCUUUAGAGUGCAGAGUAGACUCGACUCUAAGAAAUCUUUGAAAAUCUUUACAGUUGUGUAUGCAUUUAUGAACAAAGGGCCUGAUCCUGCAGCCCUUAUUCCUCAGAGGGUAACAAAAGCAAACAGCUAGCAAAAUGGGCCUUUUCUUUCAAAAAGGUCUGUAAACAGGACAGAAAGUACAAAUUUGCGUGCAGAGCUGCAUAAGAAUUACAGAAAGCUAAUUUACAAAUCUGCAUGUGCUUAAGCUAUAAAUACAAAGUGAAGAAGUUGUCAAUGGCGGUGUGUCUCCAGACUGCAAAUUAUGUCUAAUGGUUUACUAUACAUGUACAGCAAACUCAUCUUUUCUUGAUAAAUAAAGAAACCGUUGAUCAGCACAGUGAGGAAAAGGAUCUAACUCAAGGUGAAUGGCCAAGCAAGCACAGAAUUAUUCUAUGCAAAAUUUAUUUUGUUUGCUUUAAUAGUAGCUUCAAUUUCUUCUAGGAUCGGCACUGGUCCUGCAUAGUUAUUAGUUUCAAUAGCUUCUAAUUUCUUCUGAUACUCAGUUGGCAAGCCAUUCUGUUUUGCACCCAUGCAGAUAACCUUCUUAUACUGGGGAGAAGGGGGACCACAAACAUAGUCCUUCAUCUGGUAGCUUCGACAGGUCAGAACCUUUCCUUCUUCGGUGUGGACAUUAACUUCUAUUGGGACAUAAAUGCCAUCUUCAACUCCCUCUUGCUCAUCCAGUGAACUUAUAUUGCUAGCGUUCAAUUUCCACACUAUUCCCCACACUUCGUCUCCAG